rnacentral:ncRNA from 1 species
GGGCAAACCCGUCGAAAGGCGGGGGCGCAAAGCCUCGGGUCUACGGCUUGCCAAGCCAUGACGGCCGGGCCGCU